GCGUCAGAAACCACCCUUCAUGGAGAGAAGAAAGAGUCCUCAAUGCAGAGACAUUUGGUGUACCCGUAAAUAACUGGCGUAGAGGAAGAGGGCGUGGCUGGCGAGGCUAUCGUGGUUGGGGUUAUCGUGGUUACCGUGGUAAUAGAAAUAGAGGCAGUGGUUAUAACAGAGGCGGAGGUCGUCAACAACAGGGUGCUUACCGAAGCCGCAGUGCUGAAAAUCAGAGUGGUGACUAUGAGCACCAAGCGCCUGAAGUACACAAUGAAGUAUAACUUUAUAUGGUGAUUUUCAGGGAAAGCGUCUGAGUUGGAAAGGAUGAAAAGGACAAAAUCUAACUUAUUUUGACAGGCACAAUUGCCUGGAGAACUUUCUCAAAGAUUGAGGAUAUUUAGCUCUUGCUGCAUGAUUUUUGCAAUUAUAGGAUAUUAUUUUUGAGAUCCACAUGUACAGCAGUUAAGCUACUUAUAAUAAAACAUAUGAUUUGAAUAU